UUUUGUUGCAUGCUCAUCCACUGAACUAAACUCAAACCAGGGAAAAUCGAGCUUGGGGUAUCUUUCAUUCCAAAGUCAUCUCCAAGCCAAGGCAUGGCUCUUUUAAAAGCAUUCUCAAUGUCAGACUCAUCAUCUAGCAUCCCUGGCUGUUUAGGGAACUUGGGUCUGAAAAAUGGUGGGGGGCAAAUGUAGAAAGGAGUUACUACAGGCUCAAUCUCCCAAAUUCCAACUCGGCUUGGCCGUUCACCAGCAGUUGAUUCAUCCCAUCCAACCUGAAGAUUGCGCCACUGUGAUUUUUUCCAUCGCAAUGGAUCCAAAUCACUGAUGCCAGUGAUUGUGCCCAUGUAUCUACGAACUCCUGAAUCCUCGGUCUCAAACAUCAUUCUGAAUCUCAUGCCCAGUGAAACUUGUGUAUACAUUGCUUUAUUAUACUUGGCGAAAGGAAUCACAAACUCAGAAGGGCUUGCCCUUGGAUUGUAAAAUACAGUAAACGGGCUGUUAUUAGCGGCAGCAUGAGCUGCAGCAGCAAGAAUUCCAAUAUGCAUGCUGUCACUGGAUAUGACUGACGAAGAAAGUGCUGGCUGUUGUUUAUUAGCAUGCCUUAUACCCAAGAGAAGCUGUGACUUUUCAUCUCUUAUGAAUAGAACAGAAUCACCAGCAAA
rnacentral:misc_RNA from 1 species